rnacentral:lncRNA from 1 species
GUCGUUGGGUUUCGGAGAUAUAGGGUCUGCAUGGCAAGGUGUUGGCGCUGGAGAAGAGGCUGACUGAGCUGAAGGCUGACUGUAAACCAGUAGGAGCUACCCUGAAACAACUCAUCCUCACUGUAUUUUGAGGAGAAACUGGACAGGGCUCUGGAUCUGAAGAGCCAACACAAGGCAGACAUGGUUGCCGGGGACUUAGCCGCCCUCAUCCACCUCUGCUGCUGCCAUGACAAUGUGGAAGAUGUGCUGAACUUGAAGAGGGAGCUGUGAAUUAAUUGGGACUCACACACAUUCGGUCUGUACUCGGUUCAGCCGAGCCUUAAAGUUUAACUUGAGCUGGAUCAAGAGAGACGCUAAAAACUUCUUAGGGAUUGGCGUCCCAUCAAAGGGACAGUUGUAAAUCAUGCCGUGCCUUGUGUCAUGAUCGCAGAUUUUAGAGAAAUAACAAAUAUCAGUACAUAUAAGUGUCUUAUAUCAGCUGAAAGCAAAAAUUCUUGUUAAUAUAACUGCACUGUCCAAUUUACAGUAGCUAUUACUUCGAAAAAUGCCAUGCUAUUGUUUGAGGAGAGCUCCUAACAACAAAACACUUUUUUUC